UACGUAGGGGGCAAGCGUUGUCCGGAUUUAUUGGGCGUAAAGAGCGUGUAGGCGGCCAUACAGGUCCGUUGUGAAACUGGAGGCUUAACCUCCAGACGUCGAUGGAAACCGUAUGGCUAGAGUCCGGAAGAGGAGAGUGGAAUUCCUGGUGUAGCGGUGAAAUGCGUAGAUAUCUGGAGGAACACCGGUGGCGAAGGCGGCAUCCUGGACCAACACUGACGCUGAGUGAGCGAAAGCCAGGGGAGCAAACGGG
rnacentral:rRNA from 1 species